rnacentral:tRNA from 1 species
UGGUCCCGCAACAAAUAGGAAUUUGUUGCUAGGACCACGGCCCCCACCUAUAUAUUCAUAUAGGUGGGGCCCU